CUGGUGCACAUGGAAUAUACCAUAAGCAACUCCUCUGCCCUUCAGUAAUAAAGUAUACCCGUUGCUAUUGUCUGAGGAUAUCAGAAGGGCCAGGUCUGUGAUCUGCAAUUUAAGCAGAAUGGGAGAUACUAAAAUGUGGGAAGACAAAGGAAAACCUACUGAAGAUGGGACAUCAGGUGGCAUUCAGGUAACGGACAUAAUAAAGGAUGAGGCUAUAAUUAAGGCUCGUGGGCAUAAAAAAAAUAGGCAGAAACCUGCGUUUUAGGAAGUACAGGUUGAGGAAACAGUGGUCUCUAACUGCUAAGAGAGAUCAUUAAUGAGGCCAGCAGUCAAAAUCAUGGAUAAUUCCAAAGGAAGUGGUAAUAAGAAUUCAGUAAGAAGUAGCUAAGACCACAGCAGACAUAGUCCUUCCCAGGAGAAAAAAAAAAGAAAGAGAGAAGAA
rnacentral:lncRNA from 10 species